UACUCCUACGGGAGGCAGCAGUAGGGAAUCUUCGGCAAUGGACGGAAGUCUGACCGAGCAACGCCGCGUGAGUGAAGAAGGUUUUCGGAUCGUAAAGCUCUGUUGUAAGAGAAGAACGAGUGUGAGAGUGGAAAGUUCACACUGUGACGGUAUCUUACCAGAAAGGGACGGCUAACUACGUGCCAGCAGCCGCGGUAAUACGUAGGUCCCGAGCGUUGUCCGGAUUUAUUGGGCGUAAAGCGAGCGCAGGCGGUUAGAUAAGUCUGAAGUUAAAGGCUGUGGCUUAACCAUAGUACGCUUUGGAAACUGUUUAACUUGAGUGCAAGAGGGGAGAGUGGAAUUCCAUGUGUAGCGGUGAAAUGCGUAGAUAUAUGGAGGAACACCGGUGGCGAAAGCGGCUCUCUGGCUUGUAACUGACGCUGAGGCUCGAAAGCGUGGGGAGCAAACAGGAUUAGAUACCCUGGUAGUCCACGCCGUAAACGAUGAGUGCUAGGUGUUAGACCCUUUCCGGGGUUUAGUGCCGUAGCUAACGCAUUAAGCACUCCGCCUGGGGAGUACGACCGCAAGGUUGAAACUCAAAGGAAUUGACGG
rnacentral:rRNA from 1 species